CCUCCUGGCUAGGUCCUUAGGGCUGUGCUAAUGAAGUGCCACAGAUGGGACAGGUUUCAAAGGAUAGAAAUUGAUUUCAUAGUUCAGAAGGCUGAGAUUGAGCUAUCUGCAGAGCUACACCCCUCUAAAGCCCUGGGCAGGACUCCUGCCCUCCGCCUGCUGGGCCUCUCCUUCUUGCCUCCCUGCCAUCACCUGGCUUUCAGGGGCUGUGGCUUUGCCUCCAUCUUUGCAUGCCCUUCCCAGGGUCUGCCUCUGGCCAGUUUCCCUGUCCGUGAUGACACCAGUUGUUGGAAGAGGGCCCAUCUGAAUUCACUAUGAUGUCAUUGCAAUUUCUGCCAAGAUUUUAUUUCAGAGAAAGUCACAUUUAUGGUUAUAAGGGGUUAGAAUUUCAACCUGUCUUUUAAAAAGUCUUCUUUUUAGAUUUGUUUAUUUUUAUUGACUGCAAAAGGGUGUUUGGCCUGCAUCUGUGUCUGUGCAUCUUGUGUGUGCAGUGUCUGUGGAGGGCAGAAGAGGGUGUCAGUUUCCCGUUGGAACUGGAGUUAUAGAUGGAGUUAUAGUUAUACGCAUCCUGUAGAAGAGCAGUCAGUCCUCCCAAUCAUUAAGUGCUCUCUCUCUCUCUGUCUCUGUCUCUGUCUCUGUCUCUGUCUCUGUCUCUGUCUCUGUCUCUCUCCCCUCAUCUUGUCUUUUUGAGGCACACACAGUUAGCUUCCAGUAACUCCAUUGUGGAGUCACCACUCCAGCCAUCCCACACUGUGAGUCCCUGCUGUGAGCACUUUCACUAUUGUCCGAGUGUCUGUCCCAUUGCCCUGUAACCCACUGGUUCUCAGCAUGUGGGUUCCAACCCCCCCCCCAAGGGAUCACAGAUCAUGACGAUUUAUAACAGU
rnacentral:lncRNA from 1 species